UUUCCGCGUUGGCCUGUGUACAAGUCCCUUGGAAUAGGGCGUCAUAGAGGGUGAGAAUCCCGUGCUUGAUACAGACCCCAAUGCUAUGUGAUACACUCUCAAUGAGUCGAGUUGUUUGGGAAUGCAGCUCAAAAUGGGUGGUAAAUUCCAUCUAAAGCUAAAUAUAGGCGAGAGACCGAUAGCGAACAAGUACCGUGAGGGAAAGAUGAAAAGCACUUUGGAAAGAGAGUUAAACAGUACGUGAAAUUGUUAAAAGGGAAACGAUUGAAGUCAGUCAUGCUUUUCUGGAUUCAGCUUGUUCUACAAGUGUACUUCCAGUCUUGCAGGCCAGCAUCAGUUUUGUUUGGUGGAAAAAGUUUAGAGGAACGUGGCAACCCCGGUUGUGUUAUAGCCUCUAUUCGCAUACAUCAGAUGGGACUGAGGAACGCAGUGCGCCUUUAUGGCCGGUCUUCGGACACGUACGCA
rnacentral:rRNA from 1 species